rnacentral:rRNA from 1 species
GAUGAACGCUAGCGGGAGGCCUAACACAUGCAAGCCGAGCGGGAUUUGUUGGUUAGCUUGCUAACUAACAAUGAGAGCGGCGUACGGGUGCGUAGCACGUGUGCAACCUGCCUUUAUCUGGGGGAUAGCCUUUCGAAAGGAAGAUUAAUACCCCAUAACAUAUUGAUUGGCAUCAGUUAAUAUUGAAAGCUCCGGCGGAUAGAGAUGGGCACGCGUAAGAUUAGCUAGUUGGUGAGGUAACGGCUCACCAAGGCUGCGAUCUUUAGGGGGCCUGAGAGGGUGAUCCCCCACACUGGUACUGAGACACGGACCAGACGCCUACGGGAGGCAGCAGUGAGGAAUAUUGGACAAUGGGUGAGAGCCUGAUCCAGCCAUCCCGCGUGAAGGACUAAGGACCUAUGGUUUGUAAACUUCUUUUAUACAGGGAUAAACCUACUCUCGUGAGGGUAGCUGAAGGUACUGUAUGAAUAAGCACCGGCUAACUCCGUG